rnacentral:rRNA from 1 species
UACAGAGGUCCCAAGCGUUGUUCGGAUUCACUGGGCGUAAAGGGUGCGUAGGCGGUCGGGUAAGUCUGAUGUGAAAUCUCACAGCUUAACUGUGAAACUGCAUUGGAUACUAUUCGGCUUGAGAGUUGGAGGGGGGACUGGAAUUCUUGGUGUAGCAGUGAAAUACGUAGAUAUUCGCAAGAACACCAGUGGCGAAGGCGGCUCACUGGCCCGAUACUGACGCUGAGGCACGAAAGCGUGGGGAGCAAACAGG